UGAGGAAUAUUGCGCAAUGGGCGAAAGCCUGACGCAGCGACGCCGCGUGGAGGAUGAAGGUUUUCGGAUUGUAAACUCCUGUUAAGUGGGAAGAAACGACAAAAUAUAAUACAUUUUGUAACUGACGGUACCAUUAAAGAAAGCACCGGCUAACUUCGUGCCAGCAGCCGCGGUAAUACGAGGGGUGCAAGCGUUAUUCGGAAUUAUUGGGCGUAAAGGGUGCGUAGGCGGCGUAUUAAGUCAACUGUUAAAACCUCCAGCCUAACUGGAGAUCAGCAGUAGAUACUGGUAUGCUAGAGGAUGGAAGAGAGAAGUGGAAUUCUUGGAGUAGCGGUGGAAUGCGUAGAUCUCAAGAGGAACACCAAUGGCGAAGGCAGCUUCUUGGUCCAUAUCUGACGCUGAUGCACGAAAGCGUGGGGAGCAAACAGGAUUAGAUACCCUGGUAGUCCACGCCGUAAACGAUGAUCACUAGAUGUUAAUUCUGCUUGCAGAAUUAGUGUCGUAGCUAACGCGAUAAGUGAUCCGCCUGGGGGACU
rnacentral:rRNA from 1 species